GAGCAGGCCGUUUCUGCCGCGUCCACCACAACCUCUGCUGUAUCAGAGGGGGCCUUCGCCGCCGCCGCCCCCACCACCGCCCCCGCCGCCAUCGCCACCGCCGCCGCCACCACCACCGUCACCUCCGCCGCUGCCGCCUUGGGGCCCUCCUCCUUCACCGCCCCCUUCACCACCUCUACACGUUCUAGGCCUUCUGUCCUGGAGAAGAAGCUAUAGUCGUUCUCCCUUGUGGGCCCGGGGCGCAGCCAUGGCGGACGGCGGCGGCGGCGGGGGAACUGGCGCGGUGGGCGGCGGCGGAACUAGCCAGGCCUCUGCCGGGGCAGCGACUGGCGCUACUGGGGCCAGCGGGGGCGGUGGCCCCAUCAACCCGGCCUCGCUGCCUCCCGGCGACCCGCAGCUCAUCGCUCUCAUCGUGGAGCAGCUCAAGAGCCGGGGCCUUUUUGACAGCUUCCGCCGGGACUGCCUGGCCGACGUGGACACCAAGCCAGCUUACCAAAACCUGAGGCAGAAAGUGGAUAAUUUUGUGUCAACACAUCUGGACAAGCAGGAAUGGAAUCCUACGAUGAACAAAAACCAAUUGCGAAAUGGUCUGAGGCAGAGUGUGGUUCAGUUGGGUGAUUGUGGGUGAGAUUGUGCAGUAGGAAUAACAGCUGCUGGUUGAGAAUUACCCCUCAAAAGUGAAAAUAGCGUGAGCUGUAUGUGGUAAGUGGAU
rnacentral:sRNA from 1 species